GAUGAACGCUGGCGGCGUGCUUAACACAUGCAAGUCGAACGGGAAACCUUUUAAUGAAGCUUCGGCAGAUUUAGCUGGUUUCUAGUGGCGGACGGGUGAGUAACGCGUGGGUAACCUGCCUUAUACAGGGGGAUAACAGUCAGAAAUGACUGCUAAUACCGCAUAAGCGCACAGGACCGCAUGGUCCGGUGUGAAAAACUCCGGUGGUAUAAGAUGGACCCGCGUUGGAUUAGCUUGUUGGUGGGGUAACGGCUCACCAAGGCGACGAUCCAUAGCCGGCCUGAGAGGGUGAACGGCCACAUUGGGACUGAGACACGGCCCAGACUCCUACGGGAGGCAGCAGUGGGGAAUAUUGCACAAUGGGGGAAACCCUGAUGCAGCGACGCCGCGUGAAGGAAGAAGUAUCUCGGGAUGUAAACUUCUAUCAGCAGGGAAGAUAGUGACGGUACCUGACUAAGAAGCCCCGGCUAACUACGUG
rnacentral:rRNA from 1 species